rnacentral:tRNA from 1 species
GGAGCAGUGCCGGAGUGGACAAACGGCGCCGCCUUGAAAGCGGAUGGUCGCAAGACACGGAGGUUCGAAUCCUUCCUGCUCCG